UUGCUAGGUAGGUAAUUGAAUCGAAAAGUAGAAAACAGUGUUCAGAGUUUUCAGUGGCUUGGAAAUUGAUAACAUGAAUAACUUGAUUUUAUUUCAGGAUUAUCAAAAAUUUCAGAGAGUUUUACAAUAUUCUGGGUACGGUGACUCUGGUUCAAGUUCUGACUUUCGCUAUUGCCAAUGCUUAUGUUGUGCUUUUGGUGGGUGUAAUUUUGAUUUAACGGGAUGAAACUCGAUUUAAUUUUUUUUUAGAACGAGGAAUAAGUACGUAACGUUGAAAUGAUUGUUCCAGGGGGAUGCUCCAUAAAUGAUUAAAGUUAAAGGAGUUUUGGCUGUUUUCGUGUCAUUCUUUUACGUGUUUCAGAUGUGCUCAGUAGGAGAAACUAUUGAUAACUUGACUAAUUUAAUUUCACACGAAAUUUACUCAACACGUUGGUAUGAUUGGUCAACACAGCAUCGAAAAAAUAUCCUGAUAUUUUUAGGUCAAGCCCAGGCAACUUUUGAUUUGUCUGCCUAUAAAGCGUACCCAUUCAGAUUAAACACUGUUCUCCGGUUCGUCAAUACGGUCUACUCUGCGGCAAAUUUUCUGCGCACCAUAACUAAAAAAUGAUCAUGAAAUGACGAAAUGUACUUGUGCAUGAUAGUAAUGUAGAGAAUGUAAGCCUCCAGCAUUAUGUAGUUAGUAAAUAAAUUUAAACGCCUGCCAA